rnacentral:rRNA from 1 species
UACGUAGGUGGCAAGCGUUAUCCGGAUUUAUUGGGCGUAAAGGGAACGCAGGCGGUCUUUUAAGUCUGAUGUGAAAGCCUUCGGCUUAGCCGGAGUAGUGCAUUGGAAACUGGGAGACUUGAGUGCAGAAGAGGAGAGUGGAACUCCAUGUGUAGCGGUGAAAUGCGUAGAUAUAUGGAGGAACACCGGUGGCGAAAGCGGCUCUCCGGCCUGUAACUGACACUGAGGCUCGAAAGCGUGGGGAGCAAACAGG